rnacentral:sRNA from 1 species
UAUGCGCAUCUGUCGUGCUGGUGAGAAGCUGCGUUCAGGUUCGAGCCGAGCGAAGCGAGACAGCAACGCGUUAGCGUUGACCCCGAAGGGGCGAGGCCAACGGCCGAGUUAUCCUGCGCGACCCACCA